rnacentral:rRNA from 1 species
AUUGAACGCUGGCGGCAUGCCUUACACAUGCAAGUCGAACGGCAGCGGGGGAGAAGCUUGCUUUUCCUGCCGGCGAGUGGCGAACGGGUGAGUAAUACAUCGGAACGUGCCCUGUAGUGGGGGAUGACUAGUCGAAAGAUUAGCUAAUACCGCAUACGACCUGAGGGUGAAAGUGGGGGACCGCAAGGCCUCAUGCUAUAGGAGCGGCCGAUGUCUGAUUAGCUAGUCGGUGGGGUAAAGGCCUACCAAGGCGACGAUCAGUAGCUGGUCUGAGAGGACGAUCAGCCACACUGGGACUGAGACACGGCCCAGACUCCUACGGGAGGCAGCAGUGGGGAAUUUUGGACAAUGGGCGAAAGCCUGAUCCAGCAAUGCCGCGUGUGUGAAGAAGGCCUUCGGGUUGUAAAGCACUUUUGUCCGGAAAGAAAUGGCUCUGGUUAAUACCUGGGGUCGAUGACGGUACCGGAAGAAUAAGGACCGGCUAACUACGUGCCAGCCGCCGCAGUAA